rnacentral:rRNA from 1 species
GUAGCUAAAUGCGGAAGAGAUAAGUGCUGAAAGCAUCUAAGCACGAAACUUGCCCCGAGAUGAGUUCUCCCUGACUCUUUAAGGGUCCUGAAGGAACGUUGAAGACGACGACGUUGAUAGGCCGGGUGUGUAAGCGCAGCGAUGCGUUGAGCUAACCGGUACUAAUGAACCGUGAGGCUUAACCUUACAACGCCGAAG